UACAAGUUGAAGAAGAAAUUCGUGGAUCGAGAAGAUAGCUAUUCUGACGCAUCGGAGGAAUUCACAGCUGAUCAGGGAGAAAAUUACUUUCGGAGAUACGAAAAGUUGAGAAGGAAAAUAAGGCCAGCAUCUUUGGGGUGAACUUGGUAAAUGUUUUCCACAACAAUUGGUACCAAAACCUCAAGGUUGGCUUCCAAGGGAGAACAAUGGCAGGAGAUGAAGUGAAAGCUGGAAUCGAGAAGUUUGACGAUACAGAUUUUGGGUGUUGGAGGAUGCAGAUCGAUGAUUAUUUUUAUGGGAAGAUGCUUCAUCUUCUUUUAUUGGUAAAGAAGCCGAACAACAUGGAGGAUGCUAAUUGGAACUUAUUAGAUCGACAAGUCCUGGGGGUUAUUCGGCUAAUCAUGUCAAGAUCGGUUGCACACAACGUUAUCAAGGAGAAUGCCACAACGGAUCUCAUGGUGGCUUUGUCUUGUAUGUAUGAAAGUCGUCAGUGAAUAACAAGUUGAAUUUGAUGAAGAAAUUGUUCAACCUCAA